UUCGUAGGCGGGAUAUUAAGUCAGUGGUGAAAUCCUACAGCUUAACUGUAGAACUGCCAUUGAUACUGAUAUUCUUGAAUUCACCUGAAGUAGGCGGAACAUGGCAUGUAGCGGUGAAAUGCUUAGAUAUGUCAUAGAACACCGAUUGCGAAGGCAGCUUACUAAAGUGAUAUUGACGCUAAGGAACGAAAGCGUGGGGAGCGAACAGGAUUAGAUACCCUGGUAGUCC
rnacentral:rRNA from 1 species